AUUGAACGCUGGCGGCAGGCCUAACACAUGCAAGUCGAGCGGAUGACGGGAGCUUGCUCCUUGAUUCAGCGGCGGACGGGUGAGUAAUGCCUAGGAGUCUGCCUGGUAGUGGGGGACAACGUUUCGAAAGGAACGCUAAUACCGCAUACGUCCUACGGGAGAAAGCAGGGGACCUUCGGGCCUUGCGCUAUCAGAUGAGCCUAGGUCGGAUUAGCUUGUUGGUGAGGUAAUGGCUCACCAAGGCGACGAUCCGUAACUGGUCUGAGAGGAUGAUCAGUCACACUGGAACUGAGACACGGUCCAGACUCCUACGGGAGGCAGCAGUGGGGAAUAUUGGACAAUGGGCGAAAGCCUGAUCCAGCCAUGCCGCGUGUGUGAAGAAGGUCUUCGGAUUGUAAAGCACUUUAAGUUGGGAGGAAGGGUUGUAGAUUAAUACUCUGCGAUUUUGACGUUACCGACAGAAUAAGCACCGGCUAACUCUGUGCCAGCAGCCGCAGUAA
rnacentral:rRNA from 1 species